rnacentral:rRNA from 1 species
GGCAGCCUACGGGGGGCAGCAGUGAGGAAUAUUGGUCAAUGGUCGGGAGACUGAACCAGCCACGCCGCGUGAGGGAUGAAGGUACAGAGUAUCGUAAACCUCUUUUGUCAGGGAACAAAGGCGGGGACGUGUCCCCGGAUGAGUGUACCUGAAGAAAAGGCAUCGGCUAACUCCGUGCCAGCAGCCGCGGUAAUACGGAGGAUGCGAGCGUUAUCCGGAUUUAUUGGGUUUAAAGGGUGCGCAGGCGGCCUGUUAAGUCAGCGGUCAAAGCCCGGGGCUCAACCCCGGGCCGCC